UCUGCUCCUCGCGCGCUCCACGGUCAUACACGGGCACGCGCUGGAUACCUGACGCGGGAGCGCGCAGCAGAGGAAAAAAGGAGUGCAGCGAACGUGAAUGUGGAUGGUUGUGUGAACACAGACUGAUUGACUGCUCGGUUGACAGACAAAGUUGCGUGCGUCUAUGGGAAAAACCACGCUUAAGUGAGUCCCAUGUUCUGAACUGUUGCAAUUCCGAAUAAAUCCUUGAAAGA